AGUUUAUUUUGGGUGCGUGACCUGAAGCCUAUGAAGAGUUCCAUGUGUACGCCUAUGCCUCUAUUUGAAGUUUUAAUUUUCCAAUGACUGAUUGCACUGUAUUUGCUUAAACUGUAAAGUCGUAAAUAUUGUUUUGGGUAUGCACUUAUUCUGAAAUAAAUGAUACGUGCAGUGGGCUUUUCCCCUCAUAGUACCAUAGACAGAAAUUUUUUAUG